AACACCUUCUGAAUGACUAGAAGCUGCCGCCACCCCGCUAGACUGGUCUCUCCAACGCUGCCCAUCUCUCCCGGACUGGGAGGGCAAGAGGAAACUUUUCUGAGAGCUGAGGAGGAGGAACGGAGCAGCGUACCCUGAGGUCUACUGGGAAAUGGCCGGCCCUGGGAGAGAUGGCACCCCCACAUGUCCGCGGGCUCCCCUGCACGACUCAGCCUCCUGGGCAGCUAGGCUGGAGCUGUGAGGCUUCUUCUGACCACACCUGAGGGACAUUGCAGGUUUGGCGAGUCACACACAUUUUUUGAUUUCUCAGUGCUCAUGAAAGUUGGACUGACACGACACUGCAGUCUUUUAUGUAAGCAAUAAAAUUGUGU